GCCUGAACUCGAGUAGGCCCCAAGCAAGGAAGGAAGGAAGGAGGAAGCAGGCAGCAGACCCUCUGCCCAGACCAGACCAUCCAGAACAGCCAUUGCUAGGAAAAACAGACAAAAGAGUGCCUUCACGUCAUUGUCAAGUAUUAACAAUACAGUUUGCAGCAUGUAGAACCUACAACCUAUUGAAAAAUAACUGUGUAUGGAACAUGAAGGCAAGAUAUAUAAGAGAUCUGACAGACUUGGACCAUUUCCCUCACAGAAGCUCUGCCUUCAUCUCAGCUAUGCUUUGAGCAAUGCCCACUUUACCAAUGGUCCAAAAUUCUUAAUCAUGUGCCAUUUUUAAAGCUGGAAUUUAAAAAAUCUUUAAUCUCUUUAAGAGUUUCAUUCCUUCAUUGGAUGCAGAAGAUUAUUAUUCAGGCUUAGAAUUCUUAGAAGUGGCUUGCCAUGAAGUAAGAUAAAAUAAAAUCUUCUCAAUUCCUAUCUUCAAAGUUUGAUUUGAUUCAAGAGAUAUGAAAGCUACACUCAUUUAAUGGGAAGAGAUCUCAGGGACAAUGUCUCCGUCAGAAGAAGAGAAGAUUGCUUCUCAAGGAUGCCUCCUGGCAAUUGCUUGCUGAUGGGCUGACAUAAACUUGAGAGUUUGGACAAUGAUCUAAUCUGACGAGUUAUCAUCCUGGGCCUUUAUGGCAAGAUCAUAUAUGGCUAUUACUGCCACCAAAACCCACAUAUCUGCUGGCAACAAAAACCUGCACCUAGGCCAUGUCAGUACUGAAUGCUUGCUGCACACUGGAACAUACUUUAGAAAGCAGCUACAAAUUAGAAAGCAUACUUUAGAAAGCAGCUACAACCAGAAGUAUGUCUAUGAGGAUCAUGCAGCUGCAAUUGACCCUAGAGAGUGAAGAAAAUAAGAGGAUCGGCACUUUGGUUUAGGACCAUUGAUGAAUGCUGUUAUGACUGUAUACAUUCCAACCCAUGGAAUGUGGGUUAACUUGCAGUUCUGAAAUGCUCGAAAUAUUUUGUGCAUCUCAAAGAGUUAACGGCAGAGUUUUCCAUUGCAGACUGCAAUGGAAUUGUUAAUACUUGAAGAUACUAAGGUGGCAUGCUUCAAUCAGUUAUUAACUGUUCAUGUGGAUGCUUACUAUCUGAUCGUGGGGCUGACUUCCCCUGAUAAUGCAAACCUUCAGUGUGUUCACAUGAUCAUAAAACAUUCACAUUCAAGGCAUUGAAAUGUGGACAACAACAGAAGCCUUGAUGACAGGAAACUGUUGCAUAUUUGUUUAUUUAACAUAUUUAUACACUGCCCAAACUUAUGUCUGUGGGCAGUUUAUAACAAAACAGUACAAAUUAACAGUACAAAUAUAACAGUUUAUAACAAAACAGUACAAAACAAAACAAUACAAAUUAACACAAAAUUAAUUUUUUAAAACAUUAACAUAAUUUAAAAUGUAACAAUAUUAAAAACUGUAAAUCUAAUUAAAAGCUUGGGUGAACAAAUGUGUCUUAAUUGCCUUUUUAAAAGUGGUCAGAGAUGGAGAGGCUCUUAUUUCAGCAGGGAGCUACUUCAAAGCUUCAGAGCAGCAACAGAGAA